UUCCAGAAAAGGUACAUAUAAAAUGUUUAUUCCACAUGCCAUGAUAUGUAACAGUAUUGAGCUCAAAAGUACUUGUAAAACUUUUAUUUCGCAGGAAAAAUAUUUUAAACAGUACAGAUCUAGCUGAUUCCCACGAACUGGCUAAACGACAUGGCCGACGUGAAUCUCGCGAGUGCCGCGAGAUUCAAGAUGGCCGCCAUUCGCGCGCAAAAGCGCCGUGUGGCCCGCAAUCAAGUAUACGAUCGC